CGGACGGGUGAGUAACGCGUGGGGAACCUGCCUUGCACCGGGGGAUAACACUUAGAAAUAGGUGCUAAUACCGCAUAAGCGCACAGAGCCGCAUGGCUCGGUGUGAAAAACUCCGGUGGUGCAAGAUGGACCCGCGUCUGAUUAGCUGGUUGGCGGGGUAAUGGCCCACCAAGGCGACGAUCAGUAGCCGGCCUGAGAGGGUGAACGGCCACAUUGGGACUGAGACACGGCCCAAACUCCUACGGGAGGCAGCAG
rnacentral:rRNA from 1 species